GAGACUUUCCUCAGGUCUGUAGUUCCCAUUUAGUUCCACAAGGUGGUAGAAGUUCCUUACUUUUACCCAGCUAGGACGGCUCUAUGGAAGACAGGAAGUGAUGUCAUUUACAGACAGGAAGUUCCGGGUGAGAGGCAAGUUGGGAGGAAGUAGAGAGGAGACAUUGUUGGAACUGGCAGUAGAUGAGAAGAACCUGCAUAGAUCACAUGACCACAUCACUGAGGAUGGAGGAGUAUCGGAGCCACAUGACUGAGAAAAUACUAAACCUCACCCUGGAGAUCAUCUACCUGCUGACCGGAGAGAGAUUUCCUCUGGUGAAGUCAGGUGAUCAUAUGACCAU